UACGGGGGGAGCAAGCGUUGUUCGGAUUUACUGGGCGUAAAGGGCGCGUAGGCGGCGCCGCAAGUCGACUGUGAAAUCUCCGGGCUUAACCCGGAAAGGUCAGCCGAUACUGCGGGGCUAGAGUGCAGAAGGGGCAACUGGAAUUCUCGGUGUAGCGGUGAAAUGCGUAGAUAUCGAGAGGAACACCUGCGGCGAAGGCGGCUUCCUGGACAGUGACUGACGCUGAGAUGCGAAAGCGUGGGGAGCGAACGGG
rnacentral:rRNA from 1 species